CCCAUCCCGAACACGACCGUUAAGCCCUCCAGCGCCGAUGGUACUUGGACCGCAGGGUCCUGGGAGAGUAGGACGUUGCCAAGC
rnacentral:rRNA from 1 species